rnacentral:rRNA from 1 species
AUUGAACGCUGGCGGCAGGCCUAACACAUGCAAGUCGAACGAGCGGCGGACGGGUGAGUAAUGUAUGGGGAUCUGCCCGAUAGAGGGGGAUAACUACUGGAAACGGUAGCUAAUAACGCAUACUAUCGGAUGAACCCAUAUGGGAUUAGCUAGUUGGUGGGGUAAAGGCUCACCUAGGCGACUAUCUCUCGCUGGUCUGAGAGGAUGAUCAGCCACACUUGGACUGAGACACGGCCCAGACGCCUACGGGAGGCAGCAGUGGGGAAUAUUGCACAAUGGGCGCAAGCCUGAUGCAGCCAUGCCGCUGGUAUGAAGAAGGCCUUAGGGUUGUAAAGUACUUUCAGCGGGGAGGCGUUACCCGCAGAAGAAGCACCGGCUAACUCCGUGCCAGCAGCCGCGGUAAUAC